AGGAACUUGCCCAUGAGCGGGGGACAACAUUCGGAAACGGAUGCUAAUACCCCAUAGGUGGAUUGGUCGCAUGACUGAUUCAUUAAAGGUGGCUCUGCUACCACUCAUGGAUAGCCUCGCGGCGUAUUAGCUAGUUGGUAAGGUAAUGGCUUACCAAGGCAGUGAUACGUAGCCGACUUGAGAGGGUGAUCGGCCACACUGGGACUGAGACACGGCCCAG
rnacentral:rRNA from 1 species